UACGGAGGGUGCAGGCGUUAUCCGGAUUCACUGGGUUUAAAGGGUGCGUAGGUGGGCUAGUAAGUCCGUGGUGAAAUCUCCAAGCUUAACUUGGAAACUGCCGUGGAUACUAUUAGUCUUGAAUAUUGUGGAGGUAAGCGGAAUAUGUCAUGUAGCGGUGAAAUGCUUAGAUAUGACAUAGAACACCGAUAGCGAAGGCAGCUUGCUACACAAUCAUUGACACUGAGGCACGAAAGCGUGGGGAUCAAACAGG
rnacentral:rRNA from 1 species